rnacentral:rRNA from 1 species
GAUGAACGCUGGCGGCGUGCCUAAUACAUGCAAGUCGAGCGAACAGACGAGGAGCUUGCUCCUCUGACGUUAGCGGCGGACGGGUGAGUAACACGUGGAUAACCUACCUAUAAGACUGGGAUAACUUCGGGAAACCGGAGCUAAUACCGGAUAAUAUAUUGAACCGCAUGGUUCAAUAGUGAAAGACGGUUUUGCUGUCACUUAUAGAUGGAUCCGCGCCGCAUUAGCUAGUUGGUAAGGUAACGGCUUACCAAGGCAACGAUGCGUAGCCGACCUGAGCGGGUGAUCGGCCACACUGGAACUGAGACACGGUCCAGACUCCUACGGGAGGCAGCAGUAGGGAAUCUUCCGCAAUGGGCGAAAGCCUGACGGAGCAACGCCGCGUGAGUGAUGAAGGUCUUCGGAUCGUAAAACUCUGUUAUUAGGGAAGAACAAAUGUGUAAGUAACUAUGCACGUCUUGACGGUACCUAAUCAGAAAGCCACGGCUAACUACGUG